rnacentral:lncRNA from 1 species
GUCUUUUAUCCAUCCUAGCGAGCUGAUUUUGGAUCGUCCCCAUUCAGUCGGCAUGCCCAAGUACAUUUCGGGGUUAUCCCAUACCUGCACUUGUAAAAUAGUUGCUAGUCUUCUUCUCUUAUCACUGGGAACAUCCUUGCCACCAAUCAGCCCUGACUUUAAGCAGUUGAUCCUUUGUUCAGACGCGAUGAAAAAAAGCAGCAGGAGUUGUUGCCAUUUAUACAGUUCCGGUUCAGUGGCUUGAGCAAGAAGCAUAGCAUCAUUGGCAAAAAAAACAAAUGCAUUAGUGCGGGAGCCUGUUGUGUCAGUUUGAUGCCUUGUAUUCCUCCUUAUUCCUUGCUCCUGAUUAUCAUGUGGGAAAAAACGUCCAAUACUAGCAGGAAUAUAUACCGUGAAAGAGGGUCGCCUUGGAGAAGUCCUCUUUGUGGCUUGAUCUUCUCUCCGCAAACUCCAUUGAUCUUGUAACGGUAAGUAACCCCCAUGACCAGCGCCAUGACUAUUUUAACCUAGUUCGAAUGAAAACCAUAUGCUAACAAUCCUUUUUCCAGGAACUUCCACUCUACUUGAUCGAAGGCUUUAUUCAUGUCAAGCUUGACACUCAAAUGAUCUCUGCCUAUUCUGCAUCUCUUCUUCAGUGCGUUAAAUGCCUCUUGCACUAUAAUAAGAUUGUCCUGAAUUUGUCUCCCCCUAUUAAAAGCAUUCUUCUGGGGGGUGAUGAUAGAAUUCAUUGCUGGUUUCAGUCUUGUUACCAAGAUCCUGGAGAUGAUUUUACAAACAAAGUUACAGCAGCUGAUGGGUCGAAAGUUGGAGAUAGAUUCUGGAUUUUGGGUUUUUGGAGCCAAGGUAACUAGUGCCUCAUUUAUAUCUUCUGGUAGAUUCCAUGUGUCAAAGAAAGAAAUUACUGCCUUACUCACUUCUUCUCCUACUGUGUCCCAUUGUUUUUGGUAGAAUAGACUGUUCAAUAUGUCCGGUCCAGGAGCUUUCAUGCUUCCCAGGCAGAACUGUAUCGUCUCUCUGUUCCCAACUUGCUAAUGUCCUUGCUUAAGUAGGAUCUCACAGCCAUGGAUAAUGCUGGCCCAGACCCACGAGGAACCAGUUCGCUUUGGAGCGUGCCAGAAGUCUUCAUUGGGGAAGUAAAUCCCUUUUAGAACCUGGACCCAGAGAGACUCAGGGUUGUGCAUAAUUCUCCAGACUUGCUUAGCCAACAUGCCUGAUUGUUUGCUUCAAAGUCUUUGAAGCCUAUCCCCCCCUCAUUCUUGAGCUUCGUUAGGAGUUCCCAUUUCCGCCAAUGAAUACCUUUGUCUCCUUUGGAGGUCCAACAGAAACGGGCUACUUUAGAACAAAGGUCCUUGCAAAAGGCUUUGGGAAAUCUGAGUAUUGCCAUAGCAUAUGAAGGUAUGGCCUAGACUACAGCCUUAAUGAGGGUCUCUUUACCAGAUUGAUUUAAGAAGUGUCCUUUCCAUCCCUGAAGUUUGUUCAGCACCUUGUCUUUUAUCCAUCCUAGCGAGCUGAUUUUGGAUCGUCCCCAUUCAGUCGGCAUGCCCAAGUACAUUUCGGGGUUAUCCCAUACCUGCACUUGUAAAAUAGUUGCUAGUCUUCUUCUCUUAUCACUGGGAACAUCCUUGCCACCAAUCAGCCCUGACUUUAAGCAGUUGAUCCUUUGUUCAGACGCGAUGAAAAAAAGCAGCAGGAGUUGUUGCCAUUUAUACAGUUCCGGUUCAGUGGCUUGAGCAAGAAGCAUAGCAUCAUUGGCAAAAAAAACAAAUGCAUUAGUGCGGGAGCCUGUUGUGUCAGUUUGAUGCCUUGUAUUCCUCCUUAUUCCUUGCUCCUGAUUAUCAUGUGGGAAAAAACGUCCAAUACUAGCAGGAAUAUAUACCGUGAAAGAGGGUCGCCUUGGAGAAGUCCUCUUUGUGGCUUGAUCUUCUCUCCGCAAACUCCAUUGAUCUUGUAACGGUAAGUAACCCCCAUGACCAGCGCCAUGACUAUUUUAACCUAGUUCGAAUGAAAACCAUAUGCUAACAAUCCUUUUUCCAGGAACUUCCACUCUACUUGAUCGAAGGCUUUAUUCAUGUCAAGCUUGACACUCAAAUGAUCUCUGCCUAUUCUGCAUCUCUUCUUCAGUGCGUUAAAUGCCUCUUGCACUAUAAUAAGAUUGUCCUGAAUUUGUCUCCCCCUAUUAAAAGCAUUCUUCUGGGGGGUGAUGAUAGAAUUCAUUGCUGGUUUCAGUCUUGUUACCAAGAUCCUGGAGAUGAUUUUACAAACAAAGUUACAGCAGCUGAUGGGUCGAAAGUUGGAGAUAGAUUCUGGAUUUUGGGUUUUUGGAGCCAAGGUAACUAGUGCCUCAUUUAUAUCUUCUGGUAGAUUCCAUGUGUCAAAGAAAGAAAUUACUGCCUUACUCACUUCUUCUCCUACUGUGUCCCAUUGUUUUUGGUAGAAUAGACUGUUCAAUAUGUCCGGUCCAGGAGCUUUCAUGCUUCCCAGGCAGAAGGCAGCCUCCUUGACUUCAUUUUCCGUUACAGGCUCUAAGAGUUCCCUGUUCAGACUUUCAUAGAUGACUCUUGGAACUGCGUUGAGGCAUUCAGUGAUAUUCUGGCGGUUCGUGCUUUUGUAAAUAUCUGGAUAGAAGUCUGGCACAUCUCGAUUUAUAGCUAAUUGGCUUCUAACCCAGGUACCUUGCAUAUCCUUGAUCCUCUCAAUUCGAUUUCUUUCUCUACGUUGGACAGUGGAAGCAUGAAAGAACUUUGUGUUCUUGUCCCCGCUUUUCAACCAUUUGAUUCUUGAUCUUUGGCUCCAGAAUAGUUCCUCUUGCCUCCAAAGAUCUUUUAGUCUCAUUUUCCUUUGCUUAAUUUCCUGCCAGUCCUCCCCAGAAUUGCUGUAAUUUUGUAGGUGUUCCAACUGAUUCUUGAGCUCAGCUAUUUCCUUAUCAGCUCUAGAGAAGUUCUGGUGAUGCCAUUCAGUGAGCGCCAGUUUUGUGUUUGUUGUUUUCCCAGAUAAGUUGCUACAAUGACUACUAGCAGUUUCACUAGUAUUAUCCCAAGCUUUCUUUAUGGUUUCUUUACAU